rnacentral:lncRNA from 1 species
UGGUAAUGACAACUACGACAGCACAAGAAUGAAAUAGUAGCAUACCAUUGCAAAGUGAAAUAAGCAUUCCCGGAACUAGAUAAGACAUAUCAUGAGAGAACACAACGACACAUUCCCGGAACUAGAUAAGACAUAUCAUGAGAGAACACAACGACACAUUCAACAUCUCCAAAUUUGUCUGAACAGGAAUUGGUUUCAUAAAGACAGGCAAGUCCUUGCCGCUACAUCGAAAUGUUCUUUCAUCACAAACUUAAAGCAUAGCUAAAACAGUUCUAGAUAUCUUGUAAAACACAUUCAGUCCAAAAUCUCCAGCCAAAAGCAUGAGACCCUCAGAUGCACAUCCAUCUUAACGGUUAGCCUUGGCAACACGCUCAAUCUCGUCCUUCUUCUUGAUGGCAUAGCUGCAACCAAGAUAAGGCAUCCAUGAGCACUCAUCUUCAAUUCAAAUUGACAGAUAAGAAGAGAAGUAGGGUUUAUGGUAUUACCUGUUGGAUGAGCCCUUGGCAGCAUUGAUCAGCUCAUCAGCGAGGCACUCAGCAAUGGUCUUGACAUUCCUGAAGGCGCUCUCCCUGGC